GCACGGGUGCGGAACACGUGUGCAACCUGCCUUUAUCUGGGGGAUAGCCUUUCGAAAGGAAGAUUAAUACCCCAUAAUAUACUGGAUGGCAUCAUCUGGUAUUGAAAACUCCGGUGGAUAGAGAUGGGCACGCGCAAGAUUAGAUAGUUGGUGAGGUAACGGCUCACCAAGGCAGCGAUCUUUAGGGGGCCUGAGAGGGUGAUCCCCCACACUGGUACUGAGACACGGACCAGACUCCUACGGGAGGCAGCAGUGAGGAAUAUUGGACAAUGGGUGAGAGCCUGAUCCAGCCAUCCCGCGUGAAGGACGACGGCCCUAUGGGUUGUAAACUUCUUUUGUAUAGGGAUAAACCUAUAUACGUGUAUCUAGCUGAAGGGACUAUACCAAUAAGAACCGGCUAACUCCGUGUCAGCAGCCGCGGUAAUACGGAGGGUGAAAGCGUUAUCCGGAUUUAUUGGGUUUGAAGGGUCCGUAGGCUGAUGUGUAAGUCAGUGGUGAAAUCUCACAGCUUAACUGUGAAACUGCCAUUGAUACUGCAUGUCUUGAGUGUUGUUGAAGUAGAUGAAAUAAGAAUUGUAGCGGUGAAAUGCAUAUAUAUUACUUACAACACCAAUUGCGAAGGCAGGUUACUAAGUAACAACUGACGCUGAUGGACAAAAGCGUGGGGAGCGAACAGGAUUAGAUACCCUG
rnacentral:rRNA from 1 species